rnacentral:rRNA from 1 species
GACGAACGCUGGCGGCGUGCUUAACACAUGCAAGUCGAACGGUAAGGCCCCAGCUUGCUGGGGUACACGAGUGGCGAACGGGUGAGUAACACGUGGGUGACCUGCCCCGCACUUCGGGAUAAGCCUGGGAAACUGGGUCUAAUACCGGAUAGGACCGCACCGUGAGGGUGUGGUGGAAAGUUUUUCGGUGUGGGAUGGGCCCGCGGCCUAUCAGCUUGUUGGUGGGGUAAUGGCCUACCAAGGCGGCGACGGGUAGCCGUCCUGAGAGGGUGGACGGCCACAUUGGGACUGAGACACGGCCCAGACUCCUACGGGAGGCAGCAGUGGGGAAUAUUGCACAAUGGGCGGAAGCCUGAUGCAGCGACGCCGCGUGGGGGAUGACGGCCUUCGGGUUGUAAACUCCUUUCACCAUCGACGAAGGUUUUCUGACGGUAGAUGGAGAAGAAGCACCGGCUAACUACGU